AUAUCAAUAAGCGGAGGAAAAGAAACCAACAGGGAUUGCCCUAGUAACGGCGAGUGAAGCGGCAACAGCUCAAAUUUGAAAUCUGGCCCCUGGGUCCGAGUUGUAAUUUGUAGAGGAUGCUUUUGGUGCGGUACCUUCCGAGUUCCCUGGAACGGGACGCCAUAGAGGGUGAGAGCCCCGUAGUCGGCGAGGCACCGGCCAACACGCGCGCCUUCGAAGAGUCGGGUUGUUUGGGAUUGCAGCCCUAAAUGGGAGAUAAACUUCUUCUAAAGCUAAAUAUUUAUGGGAGACCGAUAGCGCACAAGUA
rnacentral:rRNA from 1 species